UACGAAGGGGGCUAGCGUUGUUCGGAAUCACUGGGCGUAAAGGGCGCGUAGGCGGCUGUUCAAGUCGGGGGUGAAAGCCUGUGGCUCAACCACAGAAUUGCCUUCGAUACUGGACGGCUUGAGACCGGAAGAGGUCAGUGGAACUGCGAGUGUAGAGGUGAAAUUCGUAGAUAUUCGCAAGAACACCAGUGGCGAAGGCGGCUGACUGGUCCGGUUCUGACGCUGAGGCGCGAAAGCGUGGGGAGCAAACAGG
rnacentral:rRNA from 1 species